rnacentral:rRNA from 1 species
ACCUUGCUACUUGGAUAACCGUAGUAAUUCUAGAGCUAAUACAUGCAGGAGUUCCCGACUUCGGAAGGGAUGUAUUUAUUAGAUAAGAAACCAAACCGGUCUCCGGUUGUGUGCUGAGUCAUAAUAACUGCUCGAAUCGCACGGCUCUACGCUGGCGAUGGUUCAUUCAAAUUUCUGCCCUAUCAGCUUUCGAUGGUAGGAUAGAGGCCUACCAUGGCGUUAACGGGUAACGGGGAAUUAGGGUUCGAUUCCGGAGAGGGAGCCUGAGAAAUGGCUACCACAUCCAAGGAAGGCAGCAGGCGCGUAAAUUGCCCGAAUCCUGACACAGGGAGGUAGUGACAAGAAAUAACAAUACAGGGCUCUUCGAGUCUUGUAAUUGGAAUGAGUACAAUUUACAUCUCUUCACGAGGAUCAAUUGGAGGGCAAGUCUGGUGCCAGCAGCCGCGGUAAUUCCAGCUCCAAUAGCGUAUAUUAAAGUUGUUGCAGUUAAAACGCUCGUAGUCGGAUUUCGGGGCGGGCCCGCCGGUCUGCCGAUGGGUAUGCACUGGCGGGGGCGCCCUUCCUCCCGGAGACGGCUGCUACUCUUAACUGAGCGGUGGCCGGAGACGGGAUAUUUACUUUG